rnacentral:rRNA from 1 species
UGCGUAGGCGGAACUUUAAGUCAGUGGUGAAAUCUUGCCGCUUAACGGUAAAAUUGCCAUUGAUACUGAAGUUCUUGAAUAUGGUUGAGGUAGGCGGAAUGUGUUGUGUAGCGGUGAAAUGCAUAGAUAUGACACAGAACUCCGAUUGCGAAGGCAGCUUACUAAACCAUUAUUGACGCUGAGGCACGAAAGCGUGGGGAGCGAACAGGAUUAGAUACCCUGGUAGUCC